UUAGCUAGUUGGUGAGGUAAUAGCUUACCAAGGCGAUGAUCAGUAGCUGGUCCGAGAGGAUGAUCAGCCACACUGGGACUGAGACACGGCCCAGACUCCUACGGGAGGCAGCAGUGGGGAAUUUUCCGCAAUGGGCGAAAGCCUGACGGAGCAAUGCCGCGUGGAGGUGGAAGGCCUACGGGUCGUCAACUUCUUUUCUCGGAGAAGAAACAAUGACGGUAUCUGAGGAAUAAGCAUCGGCUAACUCUGUG
rnacentral:rRNA from 1 species